rnacentral:rRNA from 1 species
CCCUUAGAUGUCCUGGGCCGCACGCGCGCUACACUGACGGAGCCAGCGAGCGUGUCCUUCGCCGAAAGGUGCGGGUAAUCUUGGCAGCCUCCGUCGUGCUGGGGAUAGAUGGUUGCAAUUAUUGAUCUUGAACGAGGAAUUCCUAGUAAGCGCGAGUCACCAGCUCGCGUUGAUUACGUCCCUGCCCUUUGUACACACCGCCCGUCGCUACUACCGAUUGGAUGGCUUAAUGAGAGCUCUGGAUCUCUGCCGGCGCGGUCCUCACGGGUCGCGUUGGAUGGGGAGAAGUUGCUCAAAUUGAGUCUUCUAGAGGAAGUAAAAGUCGUAACA